ACUCUUCUUAAAAACUGGUUUAUGAACAACUAAUGUAUUCAUAAAGAUUGCCAUUUUUCUUCUUCUACCUAUUACAACUUACAUGUAGUUAGAAAAAUAUGUGUUUCUUCGUUUGUGUUUUUAUCAAAUUCAAAUGCCGAUUUACUUUUCUGCAGUUGUGUCUAGACAUUUAAACAUUGAAUGUGCUAUGGUUUUGCUGUGCAAUAUCUUGAUAGUUAGUAUAAAAAGUGAUCAUGUUUUUUAAAUCUAAUUUCAAUGAUAUUAUGCAUUUAUAUUCAUUUAAUAACCAUUUUUCCACAAAAAAAAUUUAAUUAUAAUAUGAAUAAUAUUGUAGGUCUUUAACUUGUUAAAAUUAUUACAUAUACUUGGAAAUUUUUUUAUGUCAAGUUCAUGUAUUGCUUGGAAUUGGGUCUGGACUGCGCAUGCUUAAUUACCAAUAUGCAAUUUUGAACAUUGAUUAAUGUAACAAAUUGAAGAAUUUUGUCUUUUCAUUGACCGAUGAUGAAAGGGAGAUAACUUUAACAGAUUAUUUUUUAUAAGAAGAGCUGAUAAAUGUUACAGAAUGUCAAACAAUGAAUAUACAAGAACAAAUGAUUUUAUUGUCACAUACAUGUAUUAAUAUUAAUGUGAUGUUAUGAUAUACAUGUGCAUGUUAGUCCUUUGAACAAGAAUAAGUCUAUAACAUCAUUGCUCAAUAAAAUCUGCUUUUUGAACAC
rnacentral:sRNA from 1 species